AACAGAAAGGAGGAAAGGACGUAAAGAAAUCUUAACAACAAAUCGUUUGUUUGGUUGUCCUCUUUCUAUCUUUCUCUCUAUCUCCCUCCUUUCCUUCUCUUUACCCCCUCUUCCUGUUUUCUCUGUGUCCUUCUUGAAUGCGCUGUGAUCGAUAUUAAGUUGGAGGAGGACUGCAGAAACGAUGCAGUGGAUGCGAACAAAAAGAGAAGAGAAGA
rnacentral:ribozyme from 1 species